UGAACAGUGGGUCCUUGGCCAAAGUCAGCAGCAAAAGUAAAACUGAUCAGCUCCACUAGUGUGACCAAACAUACCCUGCUGUGAUCUGCCCAGACUCUGCCCAUAGCAGCCUACACUUAUGUCUACUUGCUGACUGCAAUCAUGUAGCAUAAUUAGAGAGGCAUUUCCUCAGCUCCCAGGACUGGCAAGAGCCUGUACACACCGCUCACAGUCUACAUUCACACAGCUUAAAGUGAUCUUCAUGAACACAGACCAGGUUCAAUGAACAACUAUAGUGAAAGAUGAGAAGAGCCAAGAUUUCAGGUUUCCCAUUUUCUGGUUAUGUGAAGCAAAAAACCUCUACAUUAUACAAGUGUGGAACACUUAGACCAGUGAUUCUCAACCAGAGCGCCCUGACACCUUUGGAUGCCUUGAAAUCCUUUCAAGGUUGCUGAGGGGUGUCACAAAAUGUUAGACAUCUAACUUCCUAAUUCUUGCCUGAGGCCCCCAAUU